rnacentral:rRNA from 1 species
AGAACGAACGCUGGCGGCAUGCCUAACACAUGCAAGUCGAACGAGACCUUCGGGUCUAGUGGCGCACGGGUGCGUAACGCGUGGGAAUCUGCCCUUGGGUUCGGGAUAACAGUUGGAAACGACUGCUAAUACCGGAUGAUAUCUUCGGAUCAAAGAUUUAUCGCCCAGGGAUGAGCCCGCGUAGGAUUAGCUUGUUGGUGAGGUAAGGCUCACCAAGGCGACGAUCCUUAGCUGGUCUGAGAGGAUGAGUCAGCCACACUGGGACUGAGACACGGCCAGACUCCGUACGGGAGGCAGCAGUGGGGAAUAGUUAGGACAAGUGGGACGAAAGCCUGACUCCGAGUCAAUGCCG